rnacentral:rRNA from 1 species
UACGAGGGGUGCAAGCGUUGCUCGGAAUCAUUGGGCGUAAAGGGCAGGUAGGUGGUCUCAUUUGUCUGGGGUGAAAGCCCAGGGCUCAACCCUGGAAGUGCCCCAGAAACGGUGAGACUUGAGUACUGGAGAGGGUCGUGGAAUUCCCGGUGUAGCGGUGAAAUGCGUAGAGAUCGGGAGGAACACCAGAGGCGAAGGCGGCGACCUGGACAGUGACUGACACUCGAACUGCGAAAGCGUGGGGAGCAAACAGGAUUGAGAUACCCG